GCCGGAAUAGCUCAGCAGGGAGAGCGUUAAACUGAAGAUCUAAAUGUCCCCGGUUCGAUCCCGGGUUCCGGCA
rnacentral:tRNA from 1 species